AGUGAACGCUGGCGGUAGGCCUAACACAUGCAAGUCGAACGGCAGCACAGUAAGAGCUUGCUCUUACGGGUGGCGAGUGGCGGACGGGUGAGGAAUACAUCGGAAUCUACUUUUUCGUGGGGGAUAACGUAGGGAAACUUACGCUAAUACCGCAUACGACCUACGGGUGAAAGCAGGGGAUCUUCGGACCUUGCGCGAUUGAAUGAGCCGAUGUCGGAUUAGCUAGUUGGCGGGGUAAAGACCCACCAAGGCGACGAUCCGUAGCUGGUCUGAGAGGAUGAUCAGCCACACUGGAACUGAGACACGGUCCAGACUCCUACGGGAGGCAGCAGUGGGGAAUAUUGGACAGUGGGCGCAAGCCUGAUCCAGCCAUACCGCGUGGGUGAAGAAGGCCUUCGGGUUGUAAAGCCCUUUUGUUGGGAAAGAAAAGCAGCAGGUUAAUACCCCGCUGUUCUGACGGUACCCAAAGAAUAAGCACCGGCUAACUUCGUG
rnacentral:rRNA from 1 species